GGGCCUUUAGCUCAGUUGGUUAGAGCCUCCGGCUCAUAACCGGAUCGUCCCGGGUUCGAAUCCCUGAAGGCCCACCA
rnacentral:tRNA from 7 species